rnacentral:misc_RNA from 1 species
GAUGAAGAACGUAGCGAAAUGCGAUAAGUCAUGUGAAUUGCAGAAUCCAGUGAAUCAUCGAAUCUUUGAACGCACAUUGCGCCCGCCAGCAUUCUGGCGGGCAUGCCUGUUCGAGCGUCAUUUCAACCCUCGACCUCCCUUUGGGGAAGUCGGCGUUGGGGACCGGCAGCACACCGCCGGCCCUGAAAUGGAGUGGCGGCCCGUCCGCGGCGACCUCUGCGUAGUAAACCAACUCGCACCGGAACCCCGACGUGGCCACGCCGUAAAACACCCAACUUCUGAACGUUGACCUCGAAUCAGGUAGGACUACCCGCUGAACUUAAGCAUAUCAAUAAGCGGAGGA